AGGAACGCCACAAAGCAGCAGUACGUAAAACUUUGGAACGAAGUCAGCGCUUGGAGCAGCGUCAGAAAAGGUGGUCCUGGGGAGGAGGAUCCAUUUCUUCAGACUUGGAUAGUAAAAAUGGAACAACCCCAUCCCAUCCUGUAGAUUUAGUUCAGAAAAAAUCACCUUCCACAGAACCUCAUGCUGCAAGCGAAGCUGAAGCUGCUGGGCUUGGCGUUUUGUGUGUGGGUAGUUAAGAGUGUAGGACUCCUGAAUGAUGGACAGGCUAAGAAUGUGUGUUUAUGCAUCUAGAAGAUUUCUUUGUGAGAGUC